UAGUAGCGGCGAGCGAAACGGGAAGAGCCCAAACCAACAAGCUUGCUUGUUGGGGUUGUAGGACACUCUAUACGGAGUUACAAAGGACGACAUUAGACGAAUCAUCUGGAAAGAUGAAUCAAAGAAGGUAAUAAUCCUGUAGUCGAAAAUGUUGUCUCUCUUGAGUGGAUCCUGAGUACGACGGAGCACGUGAAAUUCCGUCGGAAUCUGGGAGGACCAUCUCCUAAGGCUAAAUACUCUCUAGUGACCGAUAGUGAACCAGUACCGUGAGGGAAAGGUGAAAAGCACCCCGGAAGGGGAGUGAAAUAGAACCUGAAACCGUGUGCUUACAAGUAGUCAGAGCCCGUUAAUGGGUGAUGGCGUGCCUUUUGUAGAAUGAACCGGCGAGUUACGAUUUGAUGCAAGGUUAAGCAGUAAAUGUGGAGCCGUAGCGAAAGCGAGUCUGAAUAGGGCGUUUAGUAUUUGGUCGUAGACCCGAAACCAGGUGAUCUACCCUUGGUCAGGUUGAAGUUCAGGUAACACUGAAUGGAGGACCGAACCGACUUACGUUGAAAAGUGAGCGGAUGAACUGAGGGUAGCGGAGAAAUUCCAAUCGAACCUGGAGAUAGCUGGUUCUCUCCGAAAUAGCUUUAGGGCUAGCCUCAAGUGAUGAUUAUUGGAGGUAGAGCACUGUUUGGACGAGGGGCCCCUCUCGGGUUACCGAAUUCAGACAAACUCCGAAUGCCAAUUAAUUUAACUUGGGAGUCAGAACAUGGGUGAUAAGGUCCGUGUUCGAAAGGGAAACAGCCCAGACCACCAGCUAAGGUCCCAAAAUAUAUGUUAAGUGGAAAAGGAUGUGGCGUUGCCCAGACAACUAGGAUGUUGGCUUAGAAGCAGCCAUCAUUUAAAGAGUGCGUAAUAGCUCACUAGUCGAGUGACACUGCGCCGAAAAUGUACCGGGGCUAAACAUAUUACCGAAGCUGUGGAUUGUCCUUUGGACAAUGGUAGGAGAGCGUUCUAAGGGCGUUGAAGCAUGAUCGUAAGGACAUGUGGAGCGCUUAGAAGUGAGAAUGCCGGUGUGAGUAGCGAAAGACGGGUGAGAAUCCCGUCCACCGAUUGACUAAGGUUUCCAGAGGAAGGCUCGUCCGCUCUGGGUUAGUCGGGUCCUAAGCUGAGGCCGACAGGCGUAGGCGAUGGAUAACAGGUUGAUAUUCCUGUACCACCUAUAAUCGUUUUAAUCGAUGGGGGGACGCAGUAGGAUAGGCGAAGCGUGCGAUUGGAUUGCACGUCUAAGCAGUAAGGCUGAGUAUUAGGCAAAUCCGGUACUCGUUAAGGCUGAGCUGUGAUGGGGAGAAGACAUUGAGUCUUCGAGUCGUUGAUUUCACACUGCCGAGAAAAGCCUCUAGAUAGAAAAUAGGUGCCCGUACCGCAAACCGACACAGGUAGUCAAGAUGAGAAUUCUAAGGUGAGCGAGCGAACUCUCGUUAAGGAACUCGGCAAAAUGACCCCGUAACUUCGGGAGAAGGGGUGCUCUUUAGGGUUAACGCCCAGAAGAGCCGCAGUGAAUAGGCCCAAGCGACUGUUUAUCAAAAACACAGGUCUCUGCUAAACCGUAAGGUGAUGUAUAGGGGCUGACGCCUGCCCGGUGCUGGAAGGUUAAGAGGAGUGGUUAGCUUCUGCGAAGCUACGAAUCGAAGCCCCAGUAAACGGCGGCCGUAACUAUAACGGUCCUAAGGUAGCGAAAUUCCUUGUCGGGUAAGUUCCGACCCGCACGAAAGGCGUAACGAUUUGGGCACUGUCUCAACGAGAGACUCGGUGAAAUCAUAGUACCUGUGAAGAUGCAGGUUACCCGCGACAGGACGGAAAGACCCCGUGGAGCUUUACUGUAGCCUGAUAUUGAAAUUCGGCACAGCUUGUACAGGAUAGGUAGGAGCCUUUGAAACGUGAGCGCUAGCUUACGUGGAGGCGCUGGUGGGAUACUACCCUAGCUGUGUUGGCUUUCUAACCCGCACCACUUAUCGUGGUGGGAGACAGUGUCAAGCGGGCAGUUUGACUGGGGCGGUCGCCUCCUAAAAGG
rnacentral:rRNA from 1 species